GCGUUUGCCCAUGAUGUCCUGGAUGCACGUGGCUUCGUCUGAUUUUGGAAGCUAAGCAGGGUUUGGCCAGGUUGGUAUUUGGAGGGGAGACCCCAAAGAGAUCUUCAGCUGAAAGACUCU
rnacentral:rRNA from 1 species